rnacentral:rRNA from 1 species
AAGAUGAGGUCUCUCAUAGCGUAGGCUAGUAAGGCCCCUUGUAGACGACAAGGUAGAUAGGCCAGAUGUGGAAGUCCUGUAAGGGAUGCAGCUGACUGGUACUAAUCGGCCGAGGGCUUGACUU